rnacentral:rRNA from 1 species
AAUAGUUUUUUAAAUGAAAACUGGGAUGAAUGAAGUGACGAAAUUUAUACUGUCUUAAUUUAAAUUAUUAAAUUUAUUAAUUAAGUAAAAAUACUUAAAUAGUAGCAUGGGACGAGAAGACCCUAUAGAAUUUUAUAUAGAUUUGGUACAGUUUUUAAUUGAAGAUUUAUUAGAUUUAUAUUUUGUUGGGAGGAUAGUUAAAUUUAUUAAACUUUAAGAAGUAAAAAAUCAUUAAUUUAUGAGUUAUGGGAUUUAGAAUGACGGGUAAGUUUAAAUAGAAUUAAUUACCUUAGGGAUAACAGCGUUAUAUUUUUAGAGAGAUCUUAUUGAUAAAAAUGUUUGC